GAUACGCCAAAGGAGAAGAGGCUCUGAGAAAACUUGACCAUCCAAAUGUCGUCAAACUAUAUCACGUUGAAAGCGACCUUGAUUUCAGAUAUCAUGUGCUGGAACUGUGCCAAUUAUCG